rnacentral:rRNA from 1 species
GACGAACGCUGGCGGCGUGCCUAAUACAUGCAAGUCGAGCGGACUUUCCGGAGUGCUUGCACUCCGCGAGGGUCGCGGCGGACGGGGGCGGAACACGUAGGCAACCUUCCCAUAAGACCGGGAUAACAUUCGGAAACGGAUGCUAAUACCUGAUAAUCGGACUUCUCGCAUGAGGGGAGCGGGAAAGGCGGAGCAAUCUGCCGCUUAUGGAUGGUCCUGCGGCGCAUUAGCUAGUUGGUGGGGUAACGGCCUACCAAGGCGACGAUGCGUAGCCGCCCUGAGAGGGUGGUCGGCCAGACUGGGAGUGAGAAAGGGCCGAGACUCCGAGGGGGGGCAGCAGUAGGGAAUCUUCCGGAAUGGAGGAGAGUCUGACGGAGCAACGCGGGGUGAGUGAGGAAGGCCCUCGGGUGGUAAAGUUAUGUUGCCAGGGAAGAAGGGGCAGGGGAGUAACUGCCAUGGCCAUGACGGUACCUGAGAAGAAAGCCCCGGCUAACUACGUG